GACAGAGGGCGCAAGCGUUGUCCGGAAUUAUUGGGCGUAAAGAGCUCGUAGGCGGCUUGUCACGUCGAUUGUGAAAGCCCGAGGCUUAACCUCGGGUCUGCAGUCGAUACGGGCUAGCUAGAGUGUGGUAGGGGAGAUCGGAAUUCCUGGUGUAGCGGUGAAAUGCGCAGAUAUCAGGAGGAACACCGGUGGCGAAGGCGGAUCUCUGGGCCAUUACUGACGCUGAGGAGCGAAAGCGUGGGGAGCGAACAGG
rnacentral:rRNA from 1 species